GUGCUCACCUCAGCAGCACAUAUACCAAAAUUGGAACGAUAGAGAAGAUUAGCAUGGGCCCUGUGCAAAACUGACAUGCAACUUCGUGAAGCAUUCCAUAUUUUU